UUCUGGUGCUUACUCAAAAUUAAGCACAGAGUGGUCAUGGUUGAGCUUUAGUCCUUGUUUUAUUUUUAAUAAUAAUAACUUUUUAUUUUAUUUUUAUUAUUAUUUUUUAUCAAUUGGAUGUUUAGACAUCCAUAGAGUUUACUGCAGCCUGUUCGCAGCAAGAUUUAAAUUUUUAUUUGGACAAGACCAUUGUGAAAAAUAUCACAAAAUGUUUAGAAAAUAAACAAAACUCAUUAGCAAGUGAGAGACAAGAGUAAAAUUUUGAGCAUCUGUUUUUUCAUAUAUUUGCAAACAUUUUCCAAGUCAUCAGUAUAAAUAAAAAUAAAAAAUAAAAAAACGUAACAUUUCUGUUAAUGAUUCAUUUGGUUCCAAUUACCUUUUUGUUCAUUGUUUGCUCUGAGGCACCGUUGCCAAUAAAGGUUGGUGAAUUGAAGUACCGGUAGGCACUUUACACAUCCACUGAAGAAAAUAGUUCCAAAACAUAUUUGAAUAAGGAGGACAACGAAAUGUAUUUAUUUACAUUGAGAACUUUUGCUACAUCGGUUUUACAUUUGUUAAACCGAUGUAGCACUCUCAAAAAUUAAUCUUGUGUUUCUUGGAAAACGUAAAAUGACCCGCGGAUGGAUAUGCGGUUUCAAAAUCAAGCCUGUUCUCUUCAUCAGUCCGUUGGCGCGGAGUCUGCCUGUUGGCUGAUCUACGAAAGAAUCUCGAGGAUCUUUGUGAGGAGCCCGUGGAGCUUGGCACAGGUGGAGGAGCAGCAGAAUCUUCAGUCUACGCUAGAUUGACUGAAGAUUCUACUGGUGUAUGCUAGAUGGUUGCAUACACCGGUAGUCACUCUGGCCUCUCCUGUUGUGAACAGUUUUCUGAGAACGUUUCUGUGUCUACUAGAAGUCACCUGGUCUCUGUGUUUGUUCGAUCCUAGGGGUUUUGUCGCCUCAUUCGAGAACUCACCAGUGAAUACCUGCCUGCUCGCUCCGCCGAUUCCACUGCCUCCACUCCACCCUUCGAGCUUCCAGCUCUCUUCCAUUCCCACCUCGCAUUUACCUUCGGAACCGCUGCACACCCUCUCUCAGGAACCUGGCAUCUCACACCCACGCCUCGAAAGACCCGCACCGAAGUAAGCCUGUUCCUGUUUCCCCUCCGAUCACUCAUUCUAAGCCCGUCAUAACUAAGUUCUCGUUUCAGGCCAACCUGGUCGAGUGGUCCUCACCCUUCCGCUGAUGUCCGGGAAAUAGAUUUUAUUUUGUCCUGUUGUAAAUAAAUCACUCACUCAUCCCUAUCCAACGUGUGGUUACUGCAUGUGGGUCCGUAAAUUGAAACCCAUCAUGUCAAUCAGUGGCCAAGCCUGAAACAAAUAUUGAAAGAUGAAGAAAUUCUUUUUGAUAUUUUUGCAAUAUUUAGCUAGCAGUUAUGUGAAAUGUACUUAUAUUUAAUUGUAGCUCUAAUUUUUUUAUAUGUGCAAUGUUUUAGGCUUUAUUAGUUACAUUUAUAGUGAUUUUCUAAACUUCUCUUAAGAGUAAUACUACUGUCUUAGUCCUGUCACGUUAACAAAGAAAUUAGGAUAAUUGCAAAACUGUUCAGUGUUUACAAUAUAAGGCUUCAGUAGUUAAUCUAUACAAAGGCUGUUUUGCCUUAAUUUUUUUAUUUUUUUGAAAAGUCUAAAUGUUAUAUUGCACUAAUAAAAUAUAUAUUUUUGCAGGCUUCAAGAGGAUCAGCGUGUGAAGAUCACUUUAUAAUGAUUUGAAAAAGGUUGCCAUGGCUACAGAAAUUGGAGGAGCAUCCUUAGAUGACACAAUACAACCAGCUGUGCGAUUCCUCAUGUCCCAUGAACUGGAAGUCCAGUUCAACCUUUUUGGCCAACAUGGGAAACAAGCUC